UACGUAGGGUGCGAGCGUUAAUCGGAAUUACUGGGCGUAAAGCGUGCGCAGGCGGUUCGUUGUGUCUGAUGUGAAAGCCCCGGGCUCAACCUGGGAACGGCAUUGGAAACUGGCGGACUGGAGUGCGGCAGAGGGGGGUGGAAUUCCGCGUGUAGCAGUGAAAUGCGUAGAGAUGCGGAGGAACACCGAUGGCGAAGGCAGCCCCCUGGGCCGACACUGACGCUCAGGCACGAAAGCGUGGGGAGCAAACAGG
rnacentral:rRNA from 1 species